AUGUGUGUCCCUGAUCUCAGUAUUCUCUGGAGUGCUGUGUUAAGAGACCAAUCUUAUCAUUUGGGAGCCAUUGUAGCUUGCAGGUUGCAUCAGAAUAGACACAUCGGAGAUUUCUUUGGAGGAAUUUAUGCAACCCGCUUAGCUAAUUUUCUUGAGGUAGACAUUCAUGAGGGUGACAUGGAGUUACCCCCUUCUUAUUUAGAUUUCGAUUCUAUGGUUUCCCAUCAGUUUGUUGAGAGGACUAAACCACCUCUCAAGUAUCGACUAAUCUUUGACAGACGUCGUGUAGUCCAUAUUGCUCUUCCUGCUCCUGCUUUCUUUGAUUCAGAGGCAAAAAGAAGACAUAUUAUUACCAGAGAGGAGGCAGAUGAGUAUGAAAGGAGAGUGGAGGCUGCUCGACUCCACGCUACAGCUCAGGCGGCGAUAGCCGCUGCGUCACAGUAUGACCCCAGCUUCACCUACGGAUAUCCGCUAGGCCAUCUCUGGCAAUAG
rnacentral:rRNA from 1 species